UACGUAGGGCGCAAGCGUUGUCCGGAAUUAUUGGGCGUAAAGAGCUCGUAGGCGGUCCGUCACGUCCGCUGUGAAAACCCAGGGCUCAACCCUGGGCUUGCAGUGGAUACGGGCAGACUAGAGGUAGGUAGGGGAGAAUGGAAUUCCCGGUGUAGCGGUGAAAUGCGCAGAUAUCGGGAGGAACACCGGUGGCGAAGGCGGUUCUCUGGGCCUUACCUGACGCUGAGGAGCGAAAGCGUGGGGAGCGAACAGG
rnacentral:rRNA from 1 species